rnacentral:rRNA from 1 species
AUGUCGCCGCCGUCACCCGCACGGCGGCUGUCGAUCCUCUCUCUCCUGCUCCUCCUCCUCCUCCUCACCCUCACCGCGGCGUCAUCUGCUGCGGCCGCGGCGGCGGAGGAGUUCACGGAGGAGCUGCUCCUGCGGCCGCUCCCCGACCGCAAGGCGCUGGCCCACUUCCAAUUCCGCUCCUCCAAGCCUCCCACCGCCGCCUCCGGCCGCCACCACCACCUCUUCCCCAAGGCCAUCUCCCAGCUGGUCCAAAAAUUCCAUAUUAGUGAAUUGGAGCUAUCUUUCACACAGGGAAGAUGGAAUUAUGAGACAUGGGGUGGAUUUGAUCCACUGUCAACAGAUAAUGCAAAACCUCCUGGUGUUGAGCUAUGGGCAGUUUUCGACCUCCCUUUUGCCGACAUUGAUGCCACAUGGAAGAACCUGAUGCACACAUUGUCGGGCCUGUUUUGUGCAUCAAUCAACUUCUUGGAGUCUUCCACUGCCUUCUCUGCUCCUCGCUGGGGAUUUAAAUCAAAUGAAGGCAACCUCCGAUAUGGCGCAUUGCCUCGUGAAGCUGUCUGCACUGAGAAUCUCACGCCCUGGCUGAAACUUCUUCCAUGCCGUGACAAAGCUGGCAUCGCCUCUUUGUUGUACAGGCCUUCGAUUUAUAAAGGAUAUUACCAUUCCCAAAAUUUGAAGCUAACAUCAUCCCAAACACGAGGUAUUAUUCUUGAUCAGUCGCUCACAGUUGUGCUGCAACCAAAUGCGUCUAAGAGUAAGCAGCAUUCUACUGAUGGAAAGCUUCAGCCCAACUGGUCCAUGGAACAUUUGUUCAACAGGAAAUUGUUGGGGAAAUGUCUUGUUUCUAAAUUCAGCAGGGUAUUUGUAGAGAUCGAGAAAGGUAUACUUGUCAAAUCUGGAUCAGAAGUUUCUUGGAGUAACAAAUUCUUUGAACUUUCCACUGCCCCAGACAGGGUGCUCAAAGAAUUGGAUCACUUGGAAGUCCAAUCAUCUUCAUUGUAUGAAUAUGAUCUUAGUAACUACAAUGGUGAUAAGCCUUUUGAUGUGGGCAUAAAUCGGAAGCUUCCCCUCAUAUGGUCUUGCUCCCCUGCACCAUAUAAUGCAAGAAGAUUUCUUAUGGGUAGCGGAAACGAAAGAGGAUCUAUCGCACUGUCAUUUCUAUCCACUGAUCUACAUAAGCAGUUGCCUGGCAGCUCAAAUGAUUGUUCGAUAAAGGCUGUAGUUUUCCAGGUUUUGCCAUGGUAUGUUAAGGUCUUCUAUCACAGCCUACAAAUUUUCAUUGAUGGGAGCAGCACGGCUGUAUCAGAAGUACUUGACAUGAUCCAUGUCACUCCUUCAGAAGACAAACUUUCGCCUGGAACUCUGGAGAUGUUGCUAAGAUUUCCUUGUGGCAUUCAAUCAGCUACCCUGAUAUUGGACUUUGACAAGGGGUUCCUACACAUAGACGAAUAUCCUCCUGAUGCUAAUCAAGGAUUUGAUAUUCCAUCAGCUUUGGUUAAUGGACCCAAUGUUUGUGUCACCUUUGUUAGAAAAUUUUAA